rnacentral:rRNA from 1 species
UUAAACGUCCAUACAACGAUGAAUACACCGGUUCUCGUCCGAUCACUGAAGUUAAGCAACGUCGGGCGCGGUCAGUACUUAGAUGGGUGACCGCCUGGAAAUGCCGCGUGACGUUGCCU